rnacentral:rRNA from 1 species
UGAGGGAUUUUGCACAAUGGAGGAAACUCUGAUGCAGCGACGCCGCGUGCGGGAUGAAGCCUUUCGGGGUGUAAACCGCUGUCAGUGGAGAAGAGUAGGGACGGUACCCACUGAGGAAGCAUCGGCUAACUACGUGCCAGCAGCCGCGGUAAGACGUAGGGUGCAAGCGUUGUCCGGAAUCACUGGGCGUAAAGAGCUCGUAGGCGGGGUCUUGCGUCGCGGAGUAAAUUUUCCUGCUUAACGGGGAAAUCUUCCGCGAUACGGGGACUCUUGAGGACAGGAGAGGAAAGCGGAAUUCCGAGUGUAGCGGUGAAAUGCGUAGAUAUUCGGAGGAACACCGGUGGCGAAGGCGGCUUUCUGGCCUGAUUCUGACGCUGAGGAGCGAAAGCCAGGGUAGCGAACGGGAUUAGAUACCCGCGUAGUCC